rnacentral:rRNA from 1 species
AUUGAACGCUGGCGGCAGGCCUAACACAUGCAAGUCGAACGAUUGGCGGACGGGUGAGUCAUGUCUGGGAAACUGCCCGAUGGGGGGGGAUAACUACUGGAAACGGUAUCUAAUACCGCCUACCAUCGUAUGUGCCCAUAUGGGAUUAGCUAGUAGGUGAGGUAAUGGCUCACCUAGGCGACGAUCCCUAGCUGGUCUGAGAGGAUGACCAGCCACACUGGAACUGAGACACGGUCCAGACUCCUACGGGAGGCAGCAGUGGGGAAUAUUGCACAAUGGGCGCAAGCCUGAGGCAGCCAUGCCGCGUGUAUGAAGAAGGCCUUCGGGUUGUAAAGUACUUUCAGCGAGGAGGCGUUACUCGCAGAAGAAGCACCGGCUAACUCCGUGCCAGCCGCCGCGGUAAUAC